rfam:Microgenomates (Shapirobacteria) bacterium GW2011_GWE1_38_10 TS68_C0011, whole genome shotgun sequence.
UACCCCAUCGUCUAAUGGUAGGACACUACGCUCUGAACGUAGGAAUUGUGGUUCGAAUCCAUGUGGGGUAA